CAGUGGUUCAGUAUACUGCUGUGAAUGUCACCACUGAGCCCCCCAAAGACCACAUCAUCUGGUCACUCUUCAAUUUUGUCUACUUAAACUCAUUCUGCCUCGGACUGGCGGCUCUCAUCUUCUCCAUCAAGAGACCGGAAGGUGGCUGGAGAUCUGAAUGGCGCCCGACAGUACAGCUCCACUGCCUGCUGCAUCAACGUCUGCGCCACAGUCUUCAAUUCCAUCUUUCUCCUUAUUUGUAUUAUAUUGUUCAUCAUCAUGCAGAUAAUUUCCAAUUCGCAUUAAAAUUGUGCUAGAGUUGUC